rnacentral:rRNA from 1 species
AGAGUUUGAUCAUGGCUCAGGACGAACGCUGGCGGCGUGCCUAAUACAUGCAAGUCGAGCGAGUGAAACUAACUGAUCCUCAUCUGAGGUGACGUUAAUGGAUCUAGCGGCGGACGGGUGAGUAACACGUGGGUAACCUGCCUACAAGAUUGGGAUAACUCGCGGAAACGCGAGCUAAUACCGAAUGAUACUUUUCAUCGCAUGGUGAGAAGAUGAAAGACGGCGCAAGCUGUCACUUGUAGAUGGACCCGCGGCGCAUUAGCUAGUUGGUGAGGUAACGGCUCACCAAGGCGACGAUGCGUAGCCGACCUGAGAGGGUGAUCGGCCACACUGGGACUGAGACACGGCCCAGACUCCUACGGGAGGCAGCAGUAGGGAAUCUUCCGCAAUGGACGAAAGUCUGA